GGGAGUCUGAUGGUACACAAGGUGACAAGGGUAGACCUAUGAGAGGGAGGUGUGAUGAUACACAAGGUGACAAGGGUAGACCUAUGAGAGGAAGGUGUGAUGAUACACAAGGUGACAAGGGUAGACCCAAGAGAGGGGGGUGUGAUGAUACACAAGGUGACAAGGGUAGACCUAUGAGAGGAAGGUCUGAUGGUACAUAAGGUGACAAGGGUAGACCUAUGAGAGAAAGGUCCGAUGGUACAUAAGGUGACAAGGGAGACCCAUGAGAGGGGAGUCUGAUGAUACACAAGGUGACAAGGGUAGACCUAUGAGAGGAAGGUGUGAUGAUACACAAGGUGACAAGGGUAGACCUAUGAGAGGAAGGUCUGAUGGUACACAAGGUGACAAGGGUAGACCUAUGAGAUGAAGGUCUGAUGGUACAUAAGGUGACAAGGGAGACGUCUGAUGGUACAUAAGGUGACAAGGGUAGACCUAUGAGAGGAAGGUGUGAUGAUACACAAGGUGACAAGGGUAGACCUAUGAGAGGAAGGUCUGAUGGUACAUAAGGUGACAAGGGUAGACCUAUGAGAGGAAGGUCUGAUGGUACAUGAGGUGACAAGGGUAGACCUAUGAGAGGAAGGUCUGAUUGUACAUAAGGUGACAAGGGUAGACCUAUGAGAGGGAGGUCUGAUGGUACAUAAGGUGACAAGGGUAGACCUAUGAGAGGAAGGUCUGAUGGUACAUGAGGUGACAAGGGUAGACCUAUGAGAGGAAGGUCUGAUUGUACAUAAGGUGACAAGGGUAGACCUAUGAGAGGGAGGUCUGAUGGUACAUAAGG